AAACUUUGCCAUUAAGUUUCUCAGCUUCUUUCCUUCGAUUCGGUGUCAGAAUGAAGCUGUGAAGUGCUGCGCUGAUUUUACCCAGAAGUUACCCUGUAAACCCACUGCAGUCACAGCUCUGCUCCUUCUGCGUUUCAUGAAGUUGUGUUUCACCAAGGUUAAUUGACACGUGCCUUGGAGUGCUGCCAGCGCCUCCAUUUUUGUGUGACAGACAUCGCGUUCCAUUCAGAGCUCUGCAAAAAGUGCUUUGGGCAGAGAAGCUCUUAGCAGAUUUUGUUUCGAAAGGAACACUCAGAUGCUUUUUGGUGUCCUGAAUUACUUUACAACUCGAGGUGGAAGCUGGAGACUCGGGUCCAAUAUCCCAGAGCCACAGCUGAUGCUGCACCCAGGAGUCCAGGCUGUGCUCAGGAUUACACCAAGAUGAGGAGCUGCCGUUGGUCUUCAAGGAGUCCCAGUUGGUGUGGCUGUCAGCAGAGGAAGGCGUAUCAAAUCCAUCUGUGUUACUGUGAGCACACAGGGACCAUGGAGUGAAGAUUCAACCAGUAACCAGGCUGUAUCAAACCAGAAGGUGUUGCAGAGAUCACCUGCAGUGCUUCAGGGGCCACAGAAGGGGCUGUUCAAUGAAUUCAGUAUCUGACUUCUUACUCCUCCCUAUGUGAGCUGCAGUGGCUAUUUUUGUUGUUGUUCUUCCAUCCUGGAGAAAUGACAUUGUAAACAUUCAAGCCUUUGAGCAAACGAAGCAUGAGAAGGAAGACAACAAAACCCUCAGUGAGUAUUGCUGCAAGAAUAACAGCAGUGUGCAUUGAGUCUGCAGUAAAUACUGCUGGCCUGUAACGUCAGGCGGUUAUGAAGGUCGGUUGGGACGAUGUUGGUGAAGUGGUGCUGAGAGCUGAAGGGAGACUGGAUUCCUGUGGUAUUUCUGCUGCUGAGAAACAGCCACGGAGUGAGGCAGUGGAAUGGAAAAUGGGUUGGGGCUCGAAGCCCAGUUUAGAAAGAAAGGCGUUCUCAAGCUUCGCAGCUCUGACAGCAAUCCCUGCUCACAGCAAUUUGUCCUCUGGGUUCUCAGCAACCUCAGGAAUUCAGGGACAGGAUGGAGAACUGAGUGCUCUGACAAAUGAGAUUUCCCUUCACCAGCCCCACGUGGACCUCGCUUCUGACUUUUCCACGUGCAGGAAAGUGACCUCGCAGCUGCAGUGUUUGUUCUGGGAUGUAUAACAGUGGGAUCUGCCCCUCUGUCCCUCUCUGUUCCUUGCAGGAUGUGGUUUCUCACAGAGAAAAGCUUUCUAAGGAGAACAAGAAGCAAAAGGGAGGUUUGAAAGCCUUGAGCGAAUAGGAGAAGAAAUGCUGGCAGUCUGUUGGCAUCUGUUCUGCUUCCUUCAGGUGUGCAGGAUUCACUUGGUUCUUUAGGAAUUAAGCCAUUUUCCUUUAGCUCUGCACUUCAUCACUCAGGGCGGCGCAGGUUUUGAUCUGAUGCAACGCCUUCCUAAAACUGAGUCCAAUCUCAAUCCUUUCCUUACAAGGAGUGCCAGCAGGCUGUGAGCUCGGGCUUUGCAGGCCAGGGGAGCUGACACAGAGGCCUCUGACUGUUCAAAAAGGAACGAGAAGGCUGAGAAUCAGGUGCUUUGUUUUUACCGGCUGUCCUCCCUAAGGAUCCUGCCUGUCUGAGGCACGUUUGGUGGCUUUGGCUGGAGCUGAGCUUGGUGCUUAUGGCUUCAGUCCUCUGUGAUACAGAGCUGCGCCACCGGCUGCCCACACCAAACAUGCGUGUUGCUGGAGGAGAUUACUCCAUGCAUUUUGUUUUGUUCAGAGUGUGAGAUGCUGUGUGACGUGUGGAAUCGAACUCUGUGACCCAGGUGAGAUUACCAGUUUCGAGUUGUGCUCUCGAAUGGAAUGUUCAGCUGGAUCUACAACAGCUGCCAAGGAGGAGCCUGCAGGCAAACGGUGAUGGAUUUCCCAGGCGAUGCUGAGACGCCUCCUGCUGACUUAGGCCCACCUCGUGCUUCAUAUUAAUUCUUCCCUUGGGUUAAAAGCAGACCAAAUCCUCGAAGCCGUGCCUGGGAAUCCCGCUGUUACUGGAGUGGUUCAGCCUGGUGCCCUGGUCAGAGCGCCCUGCAGCAGAUCCUGGCAUUGGUUGUGAAUGGGAGAACUCGCAACCAAUCGCUCCGUAUCAAAACCAAUCCGGUGGAUAUGGACAAGCCUCGGGCGCCCCAUGCAGGAUCCCAGCGUGGGGAGGCCACGUAUGGAAGCUCUUCCUGCUGUGCUUCUGCUGAGAGUUGCUCGGCUGGUUUGUGUUGCUCUGUUAAUUGUUCCAAGCCAUCCUUGGCUUUGCUGCACAUCUCUGUCUGAUUGAUACCAGCUUUUUCGUCACCUCAGACACUGACUGAAAAAAGUAAUAAUAAAUAAAAAAAUGCAUGACUACA